rnacentral:rRNA from 1 species
UUAAGUGAAUAAGGGCGCACGGUGGAUGCCUUGGCACUAGGAGCCGAUGAAGGACGGGACUAACACCGAUAUGCUUUGGGGAGCUGUAAGUAAGCUAUGAUCCAGAGAUUUCCGAAUGGGGGAACCCAGCAUCUUUUAUAGGAUGUUACGUCUGCGUGAAUACAUAGCGCAGUCGAGGUAGACGCAGAGAACUGAAACAUCUAAGUACCUGCAGGAAGAGAAAGAAAAUUCGAUUCCCUGAGUAGCGGCGAGCGAAACGGGAAAAGCCCAAACCAACAAGCUUGCUUGUUGGGGUUGUAGGACUCCGAUAUGGUAGUCUAUUCAGAUAGUCGAAAUACUUGGAAAAGUAUGUCAAAGAGGGUAAAAACCCCGUAGGCGAAAUUUGGAUAACACCUAGGAGGAUCCUGAGUACGGCGGAACACGAGGAAUUCCGUCGGAAUCCGGGAGGACCAUCUCCCAAGGCUAAAUACUCCCUAGUGACCGAUAGUGAACCAGUACCGUGAGGGAAAGGUGAAAAGCACCCCGGAAGGGGAGUGAAAUAGAUCCUGAAACCGUGUGCCUACAACAAGUUAGAGCCCGUUAAUGGGUGAUAGCGUGCCUUUUGUAGAAUGAACCGGCGAGUUACGAUAGCAUGCGAGGUUAAGUUGAAGAGACGGAGCCGUAGCGAAAGCGAGUCUGAAUAGGGCGAAUGAGUAUGUUGUCGUAGACCCGAAACCAUGUGAUCUACCCAUGUCCAGGUUGAAGGUGCGGUAAAACGCACUGGAGGACCGAACCCACGUACGUUGAAAAGUGCGGGGAUGAGGUGUGGGUAGCGGAGAAAUUCCAAACGAACUUGGAGAUAGCUGGUUCUCUCCGAAAUAGCUUUAGGGCUAGCCUCGGAAUUGAGAAUGAUGGAGGUAGAGCACUGUUUGGACUAGGGGCCCAUCUCGGGUUACCGAAUUCAGAUAAACUCCGAAUGCCAUUCAUUCAUAUCCGGGAGUCAGACUGUGAGUGAUAAGAUCCAUAGUCGAAAGGGAAACAGCCCAGACCACCAGCUAAGGUCCCCAAAUAACUAUUAAGUGGAAAAGGAUGUGGGGUUGCACAGACAACUAGGAUGUUGGCUUAGAAGCAGCCACCAUUUAAAGAGUGCGUAAUAGCUCACUAGUCGAGUGACCCUGCGCCGAAAAUGUACCGGGGCUAAAUAGUUUACCGAAGCUGUGGAGUGCACCAUUAGGUGCAUUGGUAGGAGAGCGUUCUAAGGGCGUUGAAGGCAGAUCGUGAGGACUGCUGGAGCGCUUAGAAGUGAGAAUGCCGGUAUGAGUAGCGAAAGACAGGUGAGAAUCCUGUCCACCGAAUGACUAAGGUUUCCUGGGGAAGGCUCGUCCGCCCAGGGUUAGUCGGGACCUAAGCCGAGGCCGACAGGCGUAGGCGAUGGACAACAGGUUGAUAUUCCUGUACCCGUUGUUUUUGUUUGAGCAAUGGAGGGACGCAGGAGGCUAAGAAGUGCAGACUGAUGGAUAUGUCUGUUCAAGCAGUAAGUCUUGGUAGGAGUCAAAUGCUUCUACCUAUACGGACAAGCUGUGAUGAGGAGGGAAAUAAUAGUACCGAAGCUUCUGAUGUCACACUGCCAAGAAAAGCUUCUAGUGAGAAAACAACGGCCCGUACCGCAAACCGACACAGGUAGUCGAGGAGAGAAUCCUAAGGUGAGCGAGAGAACUCUCGUUAAGGAACUCGGCAAAAUGACCCCGUAACUUCGGGAGAAGGGGUGCUGCUCUAACGAGCAGCCGCAGUGAAUAGGCCCAAGCGACUGUUUAUCAAAAACACAGGUCUCUGCAAAAUCGAAAGAUGACGUAUAGGGGCUGACGCCUGCCCGGUGCUGGAAGGUUAAGAGGAGUGCUUAGCGUAAGCGAAGGUACGAAUUGAAGCCCCAGUAAACGGCGGCCGUAACUAUAACGGUCCUAAGGUAGCGAAAUUCCUUGUCGGGUAAGUUCCGACCCGCACGAAAGGCGUAACGAUUUGGGCACUGUCUCAACGAGAGACUCGGUGAAAUUUUAGUACCUGUGAAGAUGCAGGUUACCCGCGACAGGACGGAAAGACCCCAUGGAGCUUUACUGUAGUUUGAUAUUGAGUGUCUGUACCGCAUGUACAGGAUAGGUAGGAGCCGUAGAGAUCGGGACGCCAGUUUCGAUGGAGGCAAUGGUGGGAUACUACCCUUGCGUUAUGGCCACUCUAACCCGCAGCCCUUAUCGGGCUGGGAGACAGUGUCAGAUGGGCAGUUUGACUGGGGCGGUCGCCUCCUAAAAGGUAACGGAGGCGCCCAAAGGUUCCCUCAGAAUGGUUGGAAAUCAUUCGAAGAGUGUAAAGGCAGAAGGGAGCUUGACUGCGAGAGCUACAACUCGAGCAGGGACGAAAGUCGGGCUUAGUGAUCCGGUGGUUCCGCAUGGAAGGGCCAUCGCUCAACGGAUAAAAGCUACCCUGGGGAUAACAGGCUUAUCUCCCCCAAGAG